rnacentral:rRNA from 1 species
CCUACGGGAGGCAGCAGUGGGGAAUAUUGCACAAUGGGCGAAAGCCUGAUGCAGCGACGCCGCGUGAGGGAUGACGGCCUUCGGGUUGUAAACCUCUUUCAGCAGGGAAGAAGCGAAAGUGACGGUACUUGCAGAAGAAGCGCCGGCUAACUACGUGCCAGCAGCCGCGGUAAU